GAUGAACGCUGGCGGCGUGCUUAACACAUGCAAGUCGAACGGGAAACCUUUUAAAGAAGCUUCGGCAGAUUUAGCUGGUUUCUAGUGGCGGACGGGUGAGUAACGCGUGGGUAACCUGCCUUGUACAGGGGGAUAACAGUCAGAAAUGACUGCUAAUACCGCAUAAGCGCACAGGACCGCAUGGUCCAGUGUGAAAAACUCCGGUGGUAUAAGAUGGACCCGCGUUGGAUUAGCUGGUUGGUGGGGUAACGGCCUACCAAGGCGACGAUCCAUAGCCGGCCUGAGAGGGUGAACGGCCACAUUGGGACUGAGACACGGCCCAGACUCCUACGGGAGGCAGCAGUGGGGAAUAUUGCACAAUGGGGGAAACCCUGAUGCAGCGACACCGCGUGAAGGAAGAAGUAUCUCGGUAUGUAAACUUCUAUCAGCAGGGAAGAAAAUGACGGUAC
rnacentral:rRNA from 1 species